CAACUUUCAACAACGGAUCUCUUGGCUCUCGCAUCGAUGAAGAACGCAGCGAAACGCGAUAUGUAAUGUGAAUUGCAGAAUUCAGUGAAUCAUCGAAUCUUUGAACGCACCUUGCGCCCUUUGGUAUUCCAAAGGGCAUGCCUGUUUGAGUGUCAUU
rnacentral:rRNA from 1 species